CGAACCCGUUCUGCCAACGAGCGAUGAGGAACGGCCGGAGGCUGAGCACCUCCCUCCUUCCUGGCUUCUCCCUCCCCCCCUCAACGGUGUGAAUGACACUCCAGUGUUUGCGGUCGUGGGUGCUUACAUAAAAGGAGGGGUCGGAGCCUCAGUCGUUAAUGACCUUGUACCCUUGCUGCACAGUCUUAUCCGAUGCAAGUUCGCAAGAAGAAAGACUUAAUAUGGAUCCCGCUCUAUUUGACAAAGUAAACGAUAAGCAAGAUGCACACUGGCUCUUGUCCCAGGAAGGAGCUAUUUGGGGGAACUCAGCAUCUGCCUCUCCCAAUUGGCCUCACUGGAAUCAGACUCAACAGUUUUCUCAGAAAGAUGGAGAUCAGGAUGGCUGAUCUGGAUACCAUGUGAAGAGUCCUCUCUUGAUUUUGCAUCCUGCAGCUUUCAACAGCACCAGACCACUAAUGCUAGCUUAACACUGAAGGAAAGUCAAUAAAAAAACCCAAAAGUUCAACAAAUA